GUAAGUUUUCAUAUCCAUAAUUAUAUAAAAAAAAAAGUAUUGGUUUAGGACAAUGACGGACCUAGCACUCGGCAAAAGGCACAGCUGCGCGUGCUCGAUCUGUGAAAAUUUACAAUCGCUGUCGGUAGCUGCCGUGAAGAAACUUAAUGAGCAUACAUGACGAAAUAUGACAGUUUUGAUUGAGCCUUCUAUUUUUCAAUCAUGGGAUUGAGCCUUUUUUUUUUUUUUUUCAAUCGUGGGCCUUUUUUUUUAGGCCUCCUUUUUUUUUUUUUUUUUUUUUAGUUAGACAUAAACUUGGCCCAAUGGUUUGUAUAAGACAACAAAUGCAAUUUGCAAAUCGACAAACCCUAUCUCUGUCCUUUGCUUAGAGUCCUGCUGUGCACUUGAAAACAAAAUAAGAAGCAAUGGAAAGUUCAAGGAGAUCUAUGUUUUGUGGAAACCACCAAAGUCACAGAAAAGUCUUCAGUGAUGAUGCUAUUGAGUUGGGCAAUGAAUUGGUAGGUUCCUAUUAGUUAAUCUUAGAUUGUUUUGAUCUUGAUUUAACAUCAGUUGAUGAUAGUGUUUAAUUGUUCUGUGUUUUGAUGUCAAAACAAUGACUUUUGUGUUUUGCUUAUGGGAUUCUUAUUUUGACUUUGUGUCAAAUUAUUUUAGCUUUUCUAUGUUGUUGAAUAUUGUACAUGUUCAUAUUAUUUCCUAGUAGGUUUUGUUUGCAUUUUUUUAUUAUAUUAUGGUGGUUUUUUUUUUUUUUUAAAUAACUUGUUGGACUUGUGGUGUCUAAAAUAAAAAAUUUACUAUUGAGAUUAGAGCAUAAUCUUACCAUAUCCUGAUUUUGUUCUUGUCAAGGUUCUACUUGUAUAGUGGGAUUGACUUGAUUAUUAUGCUAAUUAUUUUAUGCUUUGUAUAUGUUGAUGACAGGAUAAUAAGAAGAUAGACUUGGUGUAUGGUGGAGGAAGUGUUGGGUUCAUGUGGAUAAUUUCUCAUAGAGUCUAUGAUGGGGGUUGCGAUGUUCUUGGUUAUGUAAGAUUCAUUCGGGUUUAAAAUAAUGUUAGUCACAGAAUGGACCUAUUUGACUUUGCUAUUACAGUCGACAGUCGACGUCUGCCAUAGCUAACACCCAACCCUGGAUCCGUCACUAAUUACAUGUUAAACAAAUCAACCCUGUUACACAUAUGUAUAUGCACCGCUAUAGUCAAUCGUCAUCGUCGACUACUGCUACCAUAGUGACGAUCUCACAUCAAUCACCACCAUCAUAAUGAGAUUUUCCAUCAUCUAUUACUUAUGUUGUUUCGCUACCAUCGAGACUCUACCCAUCCGAUCGACCACCACCAUAAUGAGAUCUUCCACAACACUUUUCUUUCCAGAUUUGAUCUGUUAUUAUAGAUCUAUUUUUCUCCUUUAGAUUUCUUAGAAAGGUUUUGUAGUAGGAGUGGGAUUGAUUGGCUGGUGAUAAUGGUGUGUUACAAAUCGUAGCAAUGGCGGAGAUGGUGGUACAACGAUGGAGAAUGUAAUGAUUUGAAUUUCUUUUAAUUUUUAAUUUUUUGUUUCUUGGUGGUAAGAAUGGUGUGGUCGUUGCAGAGAUGGAGAUGAAUCGCUGGUAAUGUUGGGAUCUACAGACUUUCUUGUUUUGGUGGCAAUGAUGGUGGCAACGUGAAAAUUUGUACACGAUGGCAGUGUAUACAAAUUUGGUGGAGCUAAUCAAUGGGAUGGGAAAAGGUAUUGAAUGUGGUAGUUUAUGGUUUUAGGUAGGCACUUGUGGCAAUGGUGUGGAGGUUGGAUUCUGAGCAUUUUGGUAAUCAAUAGGUAGCUAGGUUUUGGAGGUGGUGACUUAUGGAGGAGGUAAACAAUGAAAGGUCGCACAAUGGUAAUGAUGGUGGCAUGAUGGUUGUGUUGGACUCGGAAGAAUUAUAAUGAAUGAGAUUAAUGACACAAUAUGAAGUAAUAAAGAUCACAACAAGAAAUAAUAUUAAAAGUAAAGAAGAACAAAGAGAGUUAACUGACAAUAUUGAGAGAAAUUACAGAUACAACAAUAAUGCUUAAACAAAACUGAUAAAGGAGCCUUGUACUUAUAGGCCAUGUUCCAGAUUCUAGAAUAGUCCUAAAGGUAAGAAAAUCUAUUAAAAUUAGGUAACAACUGCAUAUAGAACUUUAAUCGAGUGAGGAUAUUUGAUGUGAUCCAAGAGCCGAGCUAGAAGAAGGCAAGUGCGAGACGAUACCCGUUGAUAAUCGAAGGUGGACCGAUGACGUGAUCGAGAGCAAAAUAAGUGAAACAAGCGAUGGGAUUUCUCGUUCAAGAAACUAUUGAUGGAACCAUGUUCGGGACUCAAAAUGGGACAAGUUUCGUGUUCAGGUCGAAGGCCGAAACUAAAUGGAUCAAUGCAUUACAAACAACCGAAGAAGAGAGUGGGUAGUAUAACCAUGCAGCAGCACGGUGCGACUGCACGACAUGUGGCCGAGAAUUCAAUGACCGAAAUUUUAUUACCAUGCGGCCGCACGAGUUAUAACCAUGCAACAGCAUGGUUAAUUUCUGAGCGCGAUUUUCCUUUUUUCAUUCAAUUGUAAAAAAUUUUUGAACUUAUUCAUAUUGAAUUAAAGUGAGGCGUAUUGUCUUCUCUUCAUCAUUCUUCGUUGAACAAUUUUAAACUUAUCAAGUGUUAACUUGUGGCGUUUAAACAACUGAAUUUAAUUUUUGAAUUGCGUGAUCAAGGGGUCUUUCAAGCAUCGUUCUUGUUGGGUUUUUUUGGUUCGACUUUCUUUUAGAUUAAUCCUAAACUUUGGAUUAAUUUGACUUUCUUGGAUUCAUCAAUCUCGUUGUGGGUUUUAUAGUCAACGUUGCUAUGGGGUUCGCAUCAGUUGGUAUCAAAGCUUUGCCUCCAAAUUAAUUGAAGGUUAUAUCUUUUCGUUACUUGUUAAGUCCUUUCUUGUUUUCUUCAUUUUUUUCCAAUUUCUAUCGUCGUUCCUCAUCUCGUCUGAGUCAUUCUCGUGUUGUUAAAUUAUCAUUAAUUUCAAUUCAUUGAGUUGUUGGUAGUUUAAUCGUAUUUCUUUGCAAAAGGGCCAAAAAAAAGUCAAAAAAAAAAUUUACUGUUCAUCGUACGGUUACUGUUCAUCCGUACAGUACACCAAAAAAAAUAUUGAUAUUAUUAUUUCUUGUUUUUACUACCAACACAAAAACAACUCUUGAAUUGUGAGAUUUUGCUAUUCCAUUGUGUCAAUUCUUCACUUUACUAUUGAGUCUAUUCACAUAUUCUUGUCAAAAACAAUCAUCUAUUCCACCUAAUUCAAUUCCCUGAGUUUUGUGGUUCUGGGUUAUUAUUCGGUUUGUUGAAUUCCGGUAAAACACUUGAUUUAGUUCACUUAGUUCUUUGAAGUGCUUGGAGGGAGACUUUGAGUGGUAAGAGGCCGAGUGGUGAGUUUAAUAGAGGGAAAAAGCCAUAUUGAGUGUUUUCGAGUGAUAUAUUUGUGAGGCAUAUAAAUUUGUGUGACAUGAUGUCGAAAAGGGAAGGUUCUAACUCAAGCAGAAACGGCAAUGACAACAAUGCAUCGGAGACGGAGGUUUGAACAGGUACUGGGUGAUGUUAGGGAGAAGGUGGAUAGUCAAGGGGAAUGGAUGGUGCAAAUAGGUACCACAAUCGCUAAUUUUAGCCGGGAACAAGUGGAGAUGUCUAAUACUAGGGGACCGGGUAGGCGUGAAUCUGGGAGAGGAAGGCGGGAUGAGUAUCGUAGUGAUGAGGAUGAUUUUGAUGAGAAUGACAUUGAUAUGGGUCGAGCGAGGUAUAGGGGCGAUAGGAUGGAAAGACGGGGUAGAAAUAACUUGGGAGAUGAAGUAGAUGGAAAUUUGAGGAGUAUUAAAAUGACUAUUCCGCAAUUUAAGGGGAGAAGCGAUCCGGAAGCAUAUUUAGAUUGGAAAAGGAAGGUUGAGAUGAUUUUUGUGUGCUAUAAUUAUUCGGAGGAGAAAAAGGUAAAAUUGGCGGUGCUUGAAUUUGUGAAUUACGCGAUAUCUUGGUGGGAUCAAGUACUUACAUCAUGGCGUAGGGGUCGGGAAAGACCAAUUAGCACUUGGGAUGAGUUGAAGAUGUUGAUGAGGAGGAGGUUUGUUCCGAGUCACUAUUAUAGGGAAAUCCAUCAAAAUUUGUAAGGUUUGUACCAAGGAACGAAAAGCGUAGAGGAUUAUCACAAAGAGAUGGAAAUUCUUAUGAUUCGGGCUAAUGUGGAGGAAGAUCGGGAAGCUACCAUGGCACAGUUCUUGAAUGGGUUAAAUCGGGAUAUUGCAAACAUUGUAGAGUUACAACACUAUAUGGAAAUCAAGGACAUGUUACAUGUGGCAAUGAAGGUCGAGAGGCAAUUGAAGAGGAAGGGGACGUCUAGGCAACCAUUGGGUACUUCGAAUUCUAACUCAAUAUGGAAAUCGAAGUGGGAUGACAACAACAAAAAUGGGGCUGCACCUAGAGGUAAAAAUGAUUGGCCAAAGGGCAAGGAUGAAAACGCUAGCAACCAAUAUCAAAAUCGGAGGCACAACCGCCGCGCAAUCGGGACAUCAAAUGUUUUAGGUGUUUGGGAACGGGGCAUAUUGCUUCUCAAUGCCCAAACAAACGGGCAAUGGUGUUGCGGGAUAAUGGAGAGAUUGUGAGUGAUAGUGAUGGCGAGUUUGAUGACAUUCCGGUGUUGGAGGGUGUUAGUGAAGAAGAAAAAGUUGAAGGGCCAGUUGGUGAUCUACUAGUCACAAGGCGAGCUCUCACUACUCACGUCAAAGGGAAUGACUUGGAGUUGCAACGGGAGAACAUUUUCCACACUCGAUGCCACGUCAACAAUACGGUAUGUAGUGUUAUAAUUGAUGGUGGUAGUUGCACUAAUGUAGCUAGCGUAUCUCUUGUAGAAAAAUUGGGUUUAAUAUUGUUGAGACACCCGAGACCUUAUAAAUUGCAAUGGUUGAAUGAGAGUGGCGAGGUGAGGGUGAAUCGAAGAGUGUUAAUUAAUUUGUCAAUUGGAAGUUAUAAGGAUGAGUUAGUGUGUGAUGUGGUGACAAUGCAAGCGGGACAUAUUUUAUUGGGGCAACCAUGGCAAUACGAUAGGAAGGUUAUGCAUGAUGGGUACAAAAAUCGAUAUAGUUUCAUUAAGGAUGGAAGGACCAUUACUCUUGUGCCAUUAACACCGGCACAAGUCUAUGAAGACCAAUUAAAAUUGAGAAGUGAGGAAGAGAGGAGAGCAAAAGAGUUGGAAAAAAUGAGAGCAAAUAGUGAGUUGGAGAAAAAGAGAGAAAAUAUUGAAAUAGCCAUUAGAGAGAAAAAGAGAGAGCAAUCACAAGAGAAAAAAGAAAGAGAGUGCCCCGAGAGAAGAGAGAAAACACGAGUGAAUUUUUUUGCAAAAGAGAGUAAUUUGAGGAGGGCGGUAGUUGAGAGAAGAGAGAUGAUCUUGUUCGUUUAUAAGGAAUCACUCUUUAAUUUUGAGGAAACUAACCCACCCCUCCCUAGUUUGGCUAAGUCUUUGUUGCAGAAAUUCGACGAUAUAUUUUCGGAGGAUGCACCAAGUGGAUUGCCGCCUAUUCGAGGCAUUGAGCAUCAAAUUGACUUCAUACUCGGAGCUGUCAUUCCAAAUCGACCGGCUUAUCAAAGUAAUCCCGAGGAGACUAAGGAGCUUCAAAGGCAAGUGGAGGAGUUGAUGAGCAAAUGAUACGUGAGGGAAAGCAUAAGUCCUUGUGCGGUACCAAUUUUGCUUGUACCAAAAAAGGAUGGAACAUGGCGAAUGUACGUAGAUUGUAGGGCUAUCAACAACAUAACGGUAAAGUAUCGUCACCCUAUACCUAGGUUAGAUGACAUGCUUGAUAAAUUACAUGGUGCUUGCAUAUUUUCUAAAAUUGAUUUAAAAAGCGGGUAUCAUCAAAUUCGUAUGCAGGAGGGUGAUGAAUGGAAAAUGGCUUUUAAAACUAAAUAUGGUUUAUAUGAAUGGUUGGUUAUGCCGUUUGGACUCACAAAUGCACCUAGCACUUUUAUGCGUUUAAUGAAUCAUGUUUUACGUGCUUUUAUAGAAAAUUUUGUUGUGGUUUAUUUUGAUGACAUCUUAAUCUAUAGCAAAAACCUAGGAGAGCAUUUGGAACAUUUAAAAUGUGUGCUAAUUAUUUUAAGGAAAGAACAACUCUAUGCUAAUCUUAAGAAAUGCACGUUUUUUUAUGGAUAGAGUUAUUUUUCUUCGUUUUGUGGUUAGUGCUAACGGGGUAGAAGUAGACGAUGAAAAAAUAUAAGCCAUUAGAGAUUGGCCGACACCUAAAAGCAUAACAGAAGUUAGGAGUUUUCAUGGUUUGACUAGUUUUUAUAAGCGAUUUGUGAAGGAUUUUAGCACUAUCACUGCACCACUUAUGGAAGUAGUUAAAAAGAGUGUAGGUUUUCAUUGGGCUGAUGAACAGGAACUUGCAUUUAAUAUUAUUAAAGGUAGAUUGUGUGAAACACCUGUUUUGACAUUACCUAACUUUGAUAAAACAUUCGAGAUUGAGUGUGAUGCAUCAAGAAUAGGGAUUGGAGCAAUUUUAAUGCAGGAUUGGAGGCCUAUUGCAUACUUUAACGAGAAAUUGAGUGGAGCUGCUUUAAAUUAUCCUACAUAUGACAAAGAAUUUUAUGCACUUGUUCGAGUUUUGGAGACUUGACAACAUUAUCUAUGGCCGAAGGAGUUCAUAAUACACACUGAUCAUGAGUCACUAAAGCACUUGUGGAGACAAGGUAAAUUGAACAAGAGGCAUGCACGGUGGAUGGAAUUCAUUGAGACAUUUCCAUACGUCAUUCGGUAUAAACAAGGUAAGGAAAAUGUGGUGGCGGAUGCAUUGUCUCCAAGGUGCGUAUUGCUAACUACUCUUGAUUCUAAGCUACUUGGAUUUGAACAUAUUAAGGAAUUGUAUGAAAAAGAUGUUGAAUUUUUGGAUAUUUAUUUGUCAUGCAUAAAAUGGGCGGUUGAUAGGUUCUUUAGGCAUGAGGGGUAUUUAUUUCGGGAAAAUAGGUUAUGUGUUCCUAAUUGUUCUAUUCGAGAGUUAUUAGUAAGGGAGGCACAUAGUGGUGGAUUGAUGGGACACUUUGGGGUUCAAAAGACUUUAGAUGUAUUGAAGGAGCAUUUUUAUUGGCUUAAGAUAAAAAGUGAUGUUGAACGAAUUUGUAGUCGAUGUAUAGGUUGUAAGAAGGCUAAAUCUAAGGUUUUACCACAAGGUUUGUACACACCUUUACCUUCACCUAGUGAGCUUUGGGUUGAUAUCUUGAAGGACUUUGUUUUGGGUUUACCUAGGACUAAGAGAGGUCGGGAUUCUAUUUUUGUGGUUGUAGAUAGGUUCAGCAAAAUGGCACAUUUUAUACCAUGUCACAAAACUGACGAUGCCAUGAACAUUGCUGACUUAUUCUUUAAAGAGAUUGUGCAUUUACAUGGGGUUCCUAGAAGCAUAGUAUCGGAUCGGGAUGUCAAAAUUUUGAGCCACUUUUGGAGAGUUUGUGGGGUAAGUUAGGCACUAAGUUACUAUUUUCCACAACUUGUCACCCACAAACAGAUGGGCAGACCGAGGUAGUGAAUAGGACUAUGACACAAUUGUUACACACAGUAAUCAAUAAAAAUUUAAAGAGUUGGGAGGAGUGUCUACCAUUUGUUGAAUUUGCAUACAAUCGAGCUGUUCACUCUACUACGUCAUAUUCUCCAUUUGAAAUUGUAUAUGAUUUUAAUCCACUAACUCCUUUAGAUUUAAUUUUUUUACCUGUGAAUGAACGUGGUCGUUUAGAUGGCAAAAAGAAGGCGGAAUUGAUUAAGUCAUUCCAUGAAAAGGUAAAAGCGCAAAUUGAAAAUAAAAAUAAGUUGGUUGCGUCGCAGGCGAACAAAGGUAGGAAGCGCGUGACAUUCGAGCCAGGAGAUUGGCUUUGGGUGCACUUUAGGAAGGAGCGGUUUCCGGAGCAAAGGAAGUCCAAGUUGCAACCGAGGGGCGAUGGUCCAUUCCAAGUGAUCAAAAAGAUAAACAAUAAUGCUUACAAGUUGGACCUUCCAGGUAAGUACAAUGUUUCGGCUACUUUUAAUGUAUCUGAUCUCUCUUUGUUUGAUGCAGGUUUAGAUUCGAGAACGAAUCCUUUUGAAGAGGGAGGGGAUGAUGUGAUCCAAGAGCCGAACCAGAAGAAGGCAAGUGCGAGACGAGACCCGUUGAUAAUCGAAGGUGGAUCUAUGACGCGAUUGAGAGCUAAACAAGUGAAACAAGUGAUGGGAUUGCUCGUUCAAGAAACUUUUGAUGGAACCAUGUUCGGGACUCAAAAUGGGACAAGUUUCGUGUUCGGGUCAAAGGCCGAAACUAAAUGGAUCAAUACAUUACAAGCAGCCGAAGAAAAGAGUGAGUAGUAUAACCAUGCGGUAGCACGGUGCGACCGCACGACAUGAGGCCGAGAAUUCAAUGGCCGAAAUUUUAUUACCAUGCGGCCGCACGAGUUAUAACCAUGCGACAGCAUAGUUGAUUUCUAGGCGCGAUUUUCCUUUUUUUCCGCGUUCUUCCUUAUUUUACUAGAAUUUCAUUCUUAAUCAAACUCCUACCAUAUUGGACGAAUAUUUUAGGGAUUUUGUUAAAUUAUUAGAAUUAUAUUUCCUUUUGACUUCUAUUCUAGGGUUUAGUAUAAAUAGAAAUUUUCAUUCAAUUGUAAAAAACCUUUGACAUUAUUGAUAUUGAAUUAAAGUGAGGCGUAUUGUCUUCUCUUCAUCAUUCUUCAUUGAACAGUUUCGAACUUAUCAAGUGUUAACUUGUGGCGUUCGUACAAUCGGAUUUAAUUCUUGGAUUGCGUGAUCAAG
rnacentral:lncRNA from 1 species